CAAAAUGUCACUGCAAACCACCAGAGUAAUAAGUAAAUAUGAUGAAAACCCGAGUAUUUGAGUGGGAGCAACUUUCAAUCCAGCUUUUACACUACAUGCAAUUCAAUGUCACACUGACCAGCAAAGGCAAAUGUCAUAGUCCACUUUUCAUAAUAGCACUGUGUAGUUUCACAUUUGUAUGUUUUAGAAUACAGACAUUAAAACACAGACUUGUGAAUCUUGUGCAACACACAUUUACUUUACAGGAUUUAGCUCUAUAGCCAUGAUUCUGUUUAUGUUCAGUCAUUUGCAUUAUCAGGGAACAGAUAGCAGCUAUUGGUUCAAAGGUCACUUAUGUGCUUGUUUUAUUGGACCUGAGACUAUGCCUUCCUUCUCAGUCUUCUUGUGGCUUCAGCAAACCUGUGGAAAGGACUGUCUCGCAGUACUCUUUUUCUUCCAGUUCCAUCACCUGACAGAUAAACCGGACUCCUGCAGGUUAUCCAGGUGCAUCAGCCAUGGCAUUGGGCUUUUCAUCAAAUGAAAAGAAGUCAUCCUCAUGGGAGGUGACUGCAGCAGGUUGAGGAGCAUCACUCACUGGGGUGGCAGGCUCUUCUACUGUUAGAGCGCGGCACUCAGUGGUGAGAAGGUACUUGAUGUGAUCUCUUCUGGUUUCCUCUUUUACCCAGCACAUUUUAAACUUGGGCAGCAAGACAGCAGUCAGUAGGGCAUCCAUGGAGUCAAUUGUUGUGGCAAAGCGAGUGUUAAUUGCUCCCACAAUUAUUUCAGGCAACCAAGUGGUCAGUUUUGAAAGGCCAUUUUGCAUUGCAAAAGUUUUGGCCAUUAGAACUUCAAGUGUUGGUUGAAGUGUCCCAUAAAAACAAGUUUCCUCACCCUGUAGGAUGUCCAGUGCAACACUGAAAGGCUUCAUAAUGGAGCAGUAUUACUUCAGAAACUGGUAUUGCCUGUCAUUCAUACAUUUAAUCUGAAGCUGUGUGCAUAGGUUGUUAAUGCCAGUUAGUGGCAUUUCUAUGAUCCGAACAUAGGCGUCAUAAAAUAAGUUGCACCGGUUUACUGAGGGCACAAUCAACUUCCUUUCACUGAUCCCUUCUAGGCACUCAGAUGCAACUGUGGACUGGCUAGCUUUGGUCCAUAGUGCUGAACACUUAGCUGUGGAACUGCGGUAAACAGCCCUGGAUUCUGGGUUUGAUGCCAACCAUUUAUCAAUCUCAUUGUUGGCAAUGAGGUUGAGCGUGUGAGCUGCACAUCUGUGAUGUGCAGGCAGAACACACAGUCCUUGCUGUGUAUCCUCUUCGUCUCCUCCAGUGAGAACGCUGUGGAGGUCAGUGAAGGCCACCUUCCC
rnacentral:lncRNA from 12 species